rnacentral:rRNA from 1 species
UACGGAGGGAGCUAGCGUUGUCCGGAUUUAUUGGGCGUAAAGAGCUCGUAGGCGGCUCGUUGCGUCGGCUGUGAAAACCCGCAGCUCAACUGUGGGCUUGCAGCUGAUACGGGCGGGCUGGGAUUCGGUAGGGGAGACUGGAAUUCCUGGUGUAGCGGUGAAAUGCGCAGAUAUCAGGAGGAACACCGGUGGCGAAGGCGGGUCUCUGGGCCGAUAUCGACGCUGAGGAGCGAAAGCGUGGGGAGCGAACAGG